rnacentral:tRNA from 1 species
UGGUUCAGUGGUAGAAUUCUCACCUUUCAUGUGGGAGACCCAGGUUCAAUUCCUGG